rnacentral:rRNA from 1 species
UGGGGAAUUUUGGACAAUGGGGGCAACCCUGAUCCAGCAAUGCCGCGUGUGUGAAGAAGGCCUUCGGGUUGUAAAGCACUUUUGUCCGGAAAGAAAACGUCGUGGUUAAUACCCGUGGCGGCUGACGGUACCGGAAGAAUAAGCACCGGCUAACUACGUGCCAGCAGCCGCGGUAAUACGUAGGGUGCAAGCGUUAAUCGGAAUUACUGGGCGUAAAGCGUGCGCAGGCGGUCCGCUAAGACAGAUGUGAAAUCCCCGGGCUUAACCUGGGAACUGCAUUUGUGACUGGCGGGCUAGAGUAUGGCAGAGGGGGGUAGAAUUCCACGUGUAGCAGUGAAAUGCGUAGAGAUGUGGAGGAAUACCGAUGGCGAAGGCAGCCCCUGGGCCAAUACUACGCUCAUGCACGAAAGCGUGGGGAGCAAACAGAUUAGAUACCCUGGUAGUCCACGCCCUAAACGAUGUCAACUAGUUGUCGGGUCUUCA